GGUGAACGCUGGCGGCGUGCCUAACACAUGCAAGUCGAACGGCCGCACAGUAAGAUCUUGCCCUUACUGGUGGCGGCUGGCGGACGGGUGAGGAAUACAUCGGCAUCUACUUUUUCGGGGGGGACAACGUAGGGCAGCUUACGCUAAUACCGCAUACUAUGUACGGCAUGAAUCAGGGGAUCUUCACACCUUUCCCGUCUCAAUUAGCCGAUGUCGCAUUAGCUAGUUGGCUUGGUAAAGGCCCACCAAGGCGACGAUCCGUAGCUGAUCUGAGAGGAUGAUCAGCCACACUGGAACUGAGACACGGUCCAGACUCCUACGGGAGGCAGCAGUAGGGAAUAUUGGACAAAGGGCGAAAGCCUGAUCCAGCCACGCCGCGUGAGUGAAGAAGGUCUUCGGGUUGUAAAGCCCUGUUGUUGGGGAAGAAAAGCAGCAGGUUAAAAUCCCGCUGUUCUGACGGUACCUAAAGAAAAAGCAACGGCUAACUUCGUG
rnacentral:rRNA from 1 species